UACAGAGGGGGCAAGCGUUGUCCGGACUGACUGGGCGUAAAGCGCGCGCAGGCGGUCAGAGGCGUCGGUGCUCAAAGUCCACCGCUUAACGGUGGGAGGCGUGCCGAUACGCUCUGACUGGAGGGCGGGCGAGGGUGGUGGAAUUGCCGGUGUAGUGGUGAAAUGCGUAGAGAUCGGGAGGAACACCUGUGGCGAAAGCGGCUCUCUGGACCACAACUGACGCUGAGGCGCGAAAGCUAGGGGAGCAAACAGG
rnacentral:rRNA from 1 species